rnacentral:lncRNA from 1 species
UCGCUGAGUGAAGAGGCUCUGAGACUAGAGUUUGAGAACAUCUGCCUAAGGAAGAGCUUACGAAUUCCAAAACCAUGGCAGGAAUGGCGAUCCUUAGAGAAGAUGGAUUCAUUUCAGGGACAUGUUAACUGUAAAAAGAUCAACUCUUCCUCUCUGAACCAACAGCCUGUGUCUACUCCCAAGUGCAAGUGUCCUGAGAGAGGUAUGGCUGCAUGCCUGCCAGGGAGUUUCCUUCCUUUACUUCAUAGCACUGUUUGUUCACAACAUUUUCUUCCUUAUUGACUUGAACACAAGGACACCACCUACCUCAUGUCUUCCUUCUUCCCGUGGAUGUCCAGAUGAAGCACUCCACACUCCUUUGAGAGAGAUAAACAAGGAAGAUGUGUGCUUAGUCCAGAGGUUUCAUCAAGAAAUGAAAGCAGAGACAAUAAAGUUUUGGUCUUGGUUCUCCUGUUGGCUUCAGAAUGAACAUAAUUAAGAUGAUUAACGAUCAACUCAGGCCUGAAAAAUGAGUAACUGUAGGUCAUGUUGCCAUGAAGUUACGAAGAAAAAGAACUCUUCAGAGGUGUAUACAUGUUCCUGGCCACUCUGCUUCUUAGGGUGGAGUUAGAGGACUCCCCGCCCUCCUUGCCUGCGAAGGAGGAGGCGUGGCCACACAGAUAAAGCUGGUCUGAAAAGAGCAUGGCUUUAUUUGUUCUGGGGCCAGGAACCUGUGGAUUGGAUGAUUCUGCGUUGUGGCAGCAUUGUCAACUGAUGGACCCACCAGUUCCUGAAUCCUGCUGACUAAUGGAUCAUUGUCAACUUGCUGGAGCUUUGAGGAAGGGCUUCAGAAGCUGAUGGCAUAGUUAUGAGAGGGGUGAAGACUGCGACUGCAUUUCCAACAGACCCUGAGGACAAUUGGGAAGAAUGCGCUGAAUAUUUUUGAGCAAUUUCUAUAUGAUAAGCAGUUUUUAGGGCAAGUAUAGGUUGCACUGAUCCUGACCUUUUGGCCUGAGGAUGGAAGUCUUCAGUAUCUGUACAACUUUACUCCCAAGAGCUGGUGUAGAAUGAGUUCCUCUGGCCAUGGGAGGAUCGCAGAGGGGCACCUGCCACCAGCAGCCCAGCCUCAGCACUUUUCUCUUCAGCGUCUUCUUCAAGGUAUUUCCAGUUGCCCGCCCUGAACUGUUUCAGAAUGAGGAGGACACCUGGAGGAAUCUACACGUGCAUAGACCAAUUUGCAAAAGAACCUGUGAGCCAACAUUAUUACCUCAGCUGGAAGAAUUAAUAAGCAACACGUUCACCCAAGAAGUAUUUACUGAGCACCUACUAUGUGCAUUAUUUUCUGGUGUUGGGGCUAGGGGGCAAACGACUCUGACAAGUCUCUGUUCUCAAGGCUGGAGUGCAGCGGCGCGAUCUCGGCUCACUGCAAGCUCCGCCUCCCGGGUUCACGCCAUUCUCCUGCCUCAGCCUCCCGAGUAGCUGGGACUACAGGCGCCCGCAACCACGCCCGGCUAAUUUUUUGUAUUUUUAGUAGAGAUGGGGUUUCACCAUGUUAGUCAGGAUGGUCUCGAUUUCCUGACCUUGUGAUCCGCCCGCCCCCGCCUCCCAAAGUGCUGGGAUUACAGGCGUGAGCCACCGCGCCCGGCCGUAGUUUACAUUUUCUAAAGCGUACUCUGCCAGCCAAGUGGCAAACAGACUUGGGCCUCUUAAGAGUGGAAGCAGGAGGAAACCCGAAGAUCCUGGAGAGAGACUGGUGGCUGGUACCAGUGGAGAGGGAGCAAAAAGGAAAAUACAGGAUACAAUUUCAGGAAAAAUUUCAUACCAAUUUCCUGAGGUAAUUUCUGAACUCGAACAUUUUCAGUGUCACCACAUUGUGUUUCCUGCUGAAUCAAGUCUACAUCACUUCGGUUUUUAAAGCCUUCCACGAUCCUUCCCUGAACACUGUAGUUUUCACUGAUGGUUGGCUGUUUCAAACUCCCAUAUGAUCCAUACUGUAUCAUUAAUAAGCAAGCAAGGAAUAACACACCCUCUGCUAUUCUGUGCAGUGUUUCAGGUUUUUAGUUUUCUCUUUCAAGAUAGAAAAUCCCUUUAGAGUAGGAACUCGGCUGGCACUUUCUUUCACAUCCUGCAUAGCACUUAGCAAAGUUCUGUACACAGGGCACAUGUGGAAAUUGCUUAUUGAUUGAUUAAAAGCAUAUAUCACUGGCAUUUGUAUCUUCAGUAUUUCUCUUGUAUGAAGAAGGGUGAUUAUCUGUCAAUAUUCAUUGCAUCAUUGAACCAAUGUACAAUGCAUUAAUCAUCACUGAAGAUAACCAGAUGAGGCUUUAUUGUAAUCUCCUUCUAUUUUGCUGAGAUAAUUUCACUUGCUUUAGAGUUUAUGAGGCCAUAAGUGGCUCCCAUCUGUUGAUGAACAUAUUUCUAAGAGUCAUUUAGUCUCAAGUAUGGAAUACUUGAGGGGAAGUUAAAUUGUAACUUUUAUAUUAAGUGUCAUCUUAGUAACAGAACCAAAAUUGGAAGCAUGUGUUCAAUUUUGGUUUUUCAUUUUCAAAGCUUUAGGUCAGGCAAAGAAUUAAUUUCAUUUGUUUACAAAGUAGAUUAUGCCUAAUAAAAUCUAUUUUGUUUAUGGUCACAUUUUAAUCAAUCCACUGCUUUAGAAAAUGAGAGAAUUCUGAUUGGCUAAUCAUUCAACAUAGUAAAUUACAUUAUUCCACAUCCACAGAACACUGGCCUAAUUGCAUUAUCCAGUAAUGAUAAAAAUAUUCCUUUUAAUACAUUUUGAGCAAGGCAUAUACCAGUGAUGAAACAGGGAAGAAUCUUGUUUAUUCCAUCCUUGUUUGAUGAUCGACCACAGAAUAUAACAUAACACUUCUGUGUAUAAGAAUUUUUUCAACAUUAAGGAUAAUAAGGACAAGGUAGUUUUCACUGGAUCCUUACUGGUACUCUGAAUUUUCACUAUUUGUCCGCAUUUCUUCUCCUUCCCGGAAAUUUGUUUUCUGCGAAAAACAAGUGCUACUUUGUCAAAUAAAGCUUAAAUAAAAUUGGUUUCAAUUUAUGCAUAAUAAAAGGAAUGCCUAGUGACUUUCUAUCUCUAGUGGGAGGUAGAAAACUCUCCAGGGUGACUUUAUUCACUCCAGAGGUUCUGGUGAGCACCAAGGAACAUUACCUCUGCAAAAUGCAGACAUACGCAAAAGGAUGCAUCAAAUUUAAGAGAAGUCCGUAGAUAGAUAUCUGAGGGAUCUGCCUUAGGGGAUGUAGACCAUAUAUACAACACGAAUUCCACAGAAUUAGCCUGGUAUUCACGAUCACUGUUUCUUAAAACAUAACUCUUUUAUGUUACCAAGCAACUUUUAUCUGAGAUGAUGACUACUCGAAUACUUCUUUUGCAUAUCGCCAGAAAAUAUCAAGUUUUCAUUUGAGUCCUUAAUUCAAGUUCUUUAUCACAAGAAGAAAGAAUAGCAUGGAUAAAAUGGUUUAAAGGUAGCCAAAAAAAAAACAAAACAUUGUAUUUUAGAAUGCAUAUUCAAACAUAUUCCAAAAAAUACUGUAUUUUAGAAUGCAUAUUCAAACAUGAUGACAAGUGGGCUCUGUGGCUCAUAUUGACAAUAGCUUUAACCUAUGAAGUGAGUGUCUUUCUAUACGGAGGUGAUGAGUUACUCAAUACUGAACGGCUCUACUAAAUUGUGCUUUUGGCUAUUAGAACUUGGCUACUGCCUUUCGUUGCUAUGUGUUGAGAGAAAAAUCUCAAAUGAUGAUGCUAACCAUUUUGCUAAUAAAAUAUGCUAAGCUG